AGUAGAAUGGUGUGGAAAGAACACAGAAUCUGAAGACAAAAGGAAUAAUCUGAGACCCAGCUGGUACGACCUCAAGAAGUAAGGGGCUCUGGAUCAUGGAGUUGUCACCCUAAAACAGAGGUGAUAAAUCCUUCCUCUCAGGCCCUCCACAAAGAGCUGGGAUUUGAAUUCUUUGACGAAGCUCAGCAGAGACUCAAGGGAAAGGCCGUCCAUCAAAGCCUGGUACUUGUCA
rnacentral:lncRNA from 1 species